ACCCGCUGAACUUAAGCAUAUCAAUAAGCGGAGGAAAAGAAACCAACAGGGAUUGCCCUAGUAACGGCGAGUGAAGCGGCAACAGCUCAAAUUUGAAAUCUGGCCUUCGGGUCCGAGUUGUAAUUUGUAGAGGAUGCUUUUGGUGCAGUGCCUUCCGAGUUCCUUGGAACAGGACGCCUUAGAGGGUGAGAGCCCCGUACGGUUGGACACUAAGCCUCUGUAAAGCUCCUUCGACGAGUCGAGUAGUUUGGGAAUGCUGCUCUAAAUGGGAGGUAAAUUUCUUCUAAAGCUAAAUACCGGCCAGAGACCGAUAGCGCACAAGUAGAGUGAUCGAAAGAUGAAAAGUACUUUGAAAAGAGGGUUAAAUAGCACGUGAAAUUGUUGAAAGGGAAGCGUUUAUGACCAGACCUUUGUCUAGCGGAUCAUCCGGUGUUCUUCACCGGUGCACUUCGCUAGGCUCAGGCCAGCAUCGGUUUCUGUAGGGGGAUAAAGACCAUGGGAACGUAGCUCUCUCCGGGGAGUGUUAUAGCCCUAGGUGUAAUACCUUUACGGGGACCGAGGUUCGCGCUUCUGCAGGAUGCUGGCGUAAUGGUCAUCAACGACCCGUCUUGAAACACGGACC
rnacentral:rRNA from 1 species